rnacentral:rRNA from 1 species
ACACAUGCAAGUCGAACGAUGACGACCGGGCUUGCCUGGUCUGAUUAGUGGCGAACGGGUGAGUAACACGUGAGUAACCUGCCCCUCACUUCGGGAUAACCUCGGGAAAUCGUGGCUAAUACCGGAUAUGAACUUCUACCGCAUGGUGGUUGUUGGAAAGUUUUUCGGUGAGGGAUGGACUCGCGGCCUAUCAGUUUGUUGGUGAGGUAAUGGCUCACCAAGACGAUGACGGGUAGCCGGCCUGAGAGGGCGACCGGCCACACUGGGACUGAGACACGGCCCAGACUCCUACGGGAGGCAGCAGUGGGGAAUAUUGCACAAUGGGCGAAAGCCUGAUGCAGCGACGCAACGUGAGGGAUGACUGCCUUCGGGUUGUAAACCUCUUUCAGUAGGGAAGAAGCGAAAGUGACGGUACCUGCAGAAGAAGCGCCGGCUAACUACGUGCCAGCAGCCGCGGUAAUACGUAGGGCGCAAGCGUUAUCCGGAAUUAUUGGGCGUAAAGAGCUUGUAGGUGGCUUGUCGCGUCUGCCGUGAAAACCCGAGGCUCAACCUCGGGCGUGCGGUGGGUACGGGCAGGCUAGAGUGUGGUAGGGGAGACUGGAACUCCUGGUGUAGCGGUGAAAUGCGCAGAUAUCACGAAGAACACCGAUGGCGAAGGCAGGUCUCUGGGCCAUUACUGACACUGAGAAGCGAAAGCAUGGGUAGCGAACAGGAUUAGAUACCCUGGUAGUCCAUGCCGUAAACGUUGGGCACUAGAUGUGGGGGACAUUCCACGUUUUCCGCGUCGUAGCUAACGCAUUAAGUGCCCCGCCUGGGGAGUACGGCCGCAAGGCUAAAACUCAAGGAAUUGACGGGGGCCCGCACAAGCGGCGGAGCAUGCUGAUUAAUUCGAUGCAACGCGAAGAACCUUACCACGGCUUGACAUGGACCGGACGGCUGCGGAAAUGUGGCUUUCUUCGGACUGGUUCACAGUGGUUGCAUGGUUUGUCGUCAGCUCGUG